AACGAACGCUGGCGGCAUGCCUAACACAUGCAAGUCGAACGAGACCUUCGGGUCUAGCGGCGCACGGGUGCGUAACGCGUGGGAAUCUACCCUUGGGUUCGGAAUAACAGUUAGAAAUGACUGCUCAUAACGGAUGAUGACGUAAGUCCAAAGAUUUAUCGCCCAAGGAUGAGCCCGCGUAAGAAUAGCUUGGUGGUGGGGUAGUGGCCUACCAAGGCGACGAUCUUUAGCUGGUCUGAGAGGAUGAUCAGCCACACUGGGACUGAGACACGGCCCAGACUCCUACGGGAGGCAGCAGUGGGGAAUAUUGGACAAUGGGCGAAAGCCUGAUCCAGCAAUGCCGCGUGAGGGAUGAAGGCCUUAGGGUUGUAAAGCUCUUUUACCAGGGAUGAUAAUGACAGUACCUGGAGAAUAAGCUCCGGCUAACUCCGUGCCAGCCGCCGCGGUAA
rnacentral:rRNA from 1 species